rnacentral:rRNA from 1 species
GCGGUGGAGCCUGUGGUUUAAUUCGACUCAACGCGAAAAACCUUAGCUCGUCUUGACAUCCUGCGAACUUUAUAGAGAUCGAUUGGUGCCUUCGGGAACGCAGUGACAGGUGCUGCAUGGCAGUCGUCAGCUCGCGUCGCGAGAUGUCGGGUUAAGUCCCCUAACGAGCGCAACCCUUGUCCUCAUUUGCCAGCACAUAAUUCCGCACACUCUACGUCGACUGCCGUAGACAAACCGGACGGAAGGUGGGGACGACCUCAAGUCAUCAUGGCCCUUAUGACCAGGGACACACACGUGCCACAAUGGAGCGUACCGAGGGAUGCUAAGCCGUGAGGAAGAGCCAAUCCCAGAAAACGUUUCGUAGUCCGGAUCGAAGUCUGCAACUAGAAUUUGCGAAGUCGGAAUCCCUAGUAAUCUGCGAAUCAG